GGCUCCGCCCAGCCCUGGAACCAGUCAGAGCAUGUGCUCCCCCGGGGGCUGCACCCUGGCCUCCUCGAAAACUUGCCGGACCAGACAGUUGAGAAACGGCUAGAGGGAGGAGACCUGAGUACCUGUCUCCAUGUGUGCAGCUAUAGAAAAUAUCUCUCCGCUGCUAACUUUUUAUAGAAGCAGGAUUAUAGGCGUAUUUUCUUGGGGCUGUCGGCAGUGGUAAGUUAUCAACGUGUGGUCUGCGGAAAAGCGGAAAAGCGGCAGUGUCCUAGCGUUUGCGUUGGACUUUCAGCAUCCCAGAAGACGUUGUUACGUCGCCGCGUAAGUCCGGUUGUCACGGUCUGUUAGCAGUCUUGUAUUUAAAUUCACCGUGUCUUUCUUUCUUCUGCGCGUUUACAUAGGUUCUUUUGGGCCUGUCGGCGCCGCUAUUUUUACAUUGGCCGCCCGUGGUUUACGUUUGCACGUUUAUGCCGGAUCGUUGGCGUCUGUUAGCGCCGUCGUUUUUACAUUGGCCGCCCGUGCCUUACGUUUGCACGUUUACGUCAGAUCCUUGGCGUCUAUUAGCGCUGUCGUUUUUACAUUGGCCGUCCGUGCUUUACGUUUGCACGUUUACGUCGGAUCCUUGUCGUCUAUUAGCGCCUCUGUUUUUACAUUGGCCGCCCGUGCUUUACGUUUGCACGCUUACGUCAGAUCAUUGGCGUCUAUUAGCGCCGCUGUUUUUACAUUGGCCGCCCGUGCUUUACGUUUGCACGUUCACGUCGGAUCAUUGGCUAUUAGCGCCCUUGUUUUUAAGGUGGCCGCGCGUGCUUGGGAGAGCUUAGUUGUUUUCGGUUUCACUUGGUUGCGGCGUGACGAUCAUUGAGUUAAAGGUUACUGCACUCACAUCGGUCUCCAUCAGUCUCCGUAAUCUGACUGCUCUUUGCUAUUACUUGGUUUACUCACAUACAAUAUGCGGAUUGUUCUAUUUAAGUUCAGCGCCCGUACUUCACUAUCUCAAGUAGGACUGCUUUUUUAUUUACGUGUCUCCAUCCAAGGCAGUAUAAACAUUUUUCUAUUCAUGUUUACCGCAUGUGUUUUACUAUCCAGAGUCGGACUGCUUUUCGAUUUACGUGGCUCUGUGGGAUGCAGUAUGAAGAUCGUUGCAUUCAAGUUUGCCGCCUCUACUUAACUGUGCAGGAUCUGACUACAGUCAGAUCUGUAUGACAGAUGUUGCACUCGUUUUCUGCGGGUACGUCACUAUCCAGUCUAUUUUUUCCAUUAACGUGGCUGAGUCAUAUGUAGUAUGAGUGUCAGAGGCAUUGGAACCCGAAGCGACCCCAUUUUGAAUGAGGGCUAGAAAAAUGAGGCCGGGAUUUACGGGCGUGCUUUCUCUGAAGGAUAUUCCUAGCUGUCAGAUGUUUACGGUUAAGGGAACAAAUUAACGUUUACUAAAGAGACCCGAGUGUCCAGAUAGCUGGAUAUCUGGAGAACAAAGGCGUUCCUAAUUUUGCUUUAAAGAUAGUAAUAGGGAUUCUUGCAAAAUAUAAUAAUUAAAAUUAAUCCUUUAUCACAAACCCUUGUAGCAGAGCACCUCUCCCCAUGUAUACAAGCAUUGUACCUAGGGGUGGAUACGUUCCUUCUGUUAGUUUUGGGAACGUCCUACUCUGUCUUUGGAGUAGCUGUUCUUUCACUUUACUUUCUUAAUAAACUUGCUUUUGUUUUGCACCGCGGACUUAUCCUGAGUUAUUUCUUGCGCGAGAUCCAAAAAUCCUCUCGGGAUCUGGAUCGGGGCCCUUUUCCUGUGACAUAUUUCUGGCGACCACAGAUGGGACUAUAUUGCUUUGGGUAAGUGUUGGGGCCCUAUAACAUAUUUCUGGCGAACGACGAAAGGGAGGAUACUGAAGAAACUCACCCAGCCCAAAGGAAGUAGACUGCAGCCCUGAUUGGACGACUUUGGCAGCCAUCUGCACCCAAACCAGAUUGCCAAAACAACUAGGCAAGCCCAAGAGUGACGGGGCCCGAGACCUUCUACUACACCUCGUCGGACAACUAGCCAUAUCUUCUGAGAAGCCUCAGAUAACCCUUGACAUGGCAGAGAAAACCCACAGGUCCGGCUGGACCUUACGCCUGGCGCCCAAUAAGGAUUUCUCUCUCACUGUGUGAAGGUGCACCUUGAGCGCAGAACUCAGCGGAGGACUACUGAUGACAGAUUCCUGAGGAUUGUGGUCAAUAACCUUGGUGGAGAAGAACAACCCAUGUGGGUUCCCUCCCAGCAACUGAGAUUGCAUUAUAACUCCAAGGAUGUAGAACUCCCAGAAACAAAAGGCAAAGAACCGUCAGAAAGCAUAGAGCAAGGUUUGUCACUUGACACAUAAACUCCAUGACCUCGACAUUACAACAAAAUAUCGCCGUGUGACCUACAACACCAGUCAUUCUACUCUACCAACAUGGGGCCAGAUAAAAGUCUUAUCACAUCAAACAGAGAAAUUACUACAAGAAGAAGGAAUUCCAAAAAUGACGGGUAGUAUAAUUCUGGCUGCCUUUAUCGUGGUCAGUGUAGUGGUGAGUAUACCAGAGGUUGGGGCAACUCAAAAUUAUGCCUACUGGGCAUAUGUUCCUUUUCCCUCUUUAAUUCAGUCUGUCUCCUGGAUGGACUCCUCAGUGGAAGUUUACACUAACAAUAAUGCAUUCACACCGGUCUCCGAUGAUGACAGGUUUCCAGCCCAACCAGAAGAAGAAGGUAUGCACUUUAAUUUGUCAAUUGGCUACAAGUAUCCACCACUGUGCAUUGGAAUGUUGCCUGGCUGCUUAGCUUAUUAUUGUUUGGACGAACCGAGGCAAGAUGGUGCACUUCCGGGUUCUUCAUCCCCCCCACCCCCAACUCUUCCCGCGCGCGCGAAAAUGCAGCCGGCGACCCGGGAGGGUGCAGACCAACUGGGCAUG